GAUUUUUUAAAACAUUUGGUGAGUAGUUAUCCAGUGUUCCUUCCUGCCUGAUCUCGUUCUUUGACCUUGCCUUGCCUCACGGAUUUUGCCUUCCUGCCUGCCCCUUGUUGGACUGUUUGGAUCCUGAUUUACGCCCCGGCCUAGCCACUGGUUUAUUCAGCCUGAGCCUGCCUGGGUCUCAAGUCUGCCUGGAAUUAUUGUCAAGAGGACAACCUCAGCUCUCUGCGUUCCUGCCACAGCUUCAGCUUAUUCCCCUGAGAAACAUUCCGACUUCUGACUGUUGGAUUCUUCCCCAUAAACUGUCUGGAUCAUUCCUCUUCUGGAUUCUGAACCUCAUUCCCAGACUGAGAAGUGGUUCGUGGAAGCUGACUGUUGGUUACCUGAGUGAUGAUCCUGCCAUACUGAAUAAACCUUUUAACCUUUUUA